CCUGCCCCUGCCCCUGCCGCAGCGCCCCGCCCUGAGGGAUUGGCAGAUUUGCCAUCAGGAGGUUUUAAACAGGAUUCGGUGCCGACAGCCUCCCUGCUGCAGCCUGCGGAUAGGAAGAGGCAAAGAUGCAGAUGACCAAGAGCUCUCCCUUGCCCAGGCUGGGCUGUACCUUGCACCCUGGUGCUUUUUCAUUGUUAAACAUAGCUAAUUAAUCCAUGUGGGAAAUGUUCCUGCAGAAGGAUAGAGGCACCGUCCAAGCUGUUCAUAACUCGGCUGUUAGGACCGCUCCUACGAAGCGCUAAGAAGGAUGGAGCCACAAAGGACACUGCUAGACACGUGCUCUUAUACAUUGAUGUGUGCCACGGUUAGUUGUGUGUUGGAGUCGGGGAAGUAAAUCCACAGAGAAUAUGUUACACUUCCUUGGGUUUACAUGAUGAAAUGGCAACGGAGGUUCUAACUGAACAAUACAAUGUGUCCGAUGUUUGUUUGUUUUUUAACUUGAUGCAGACCAGAGUUGUUGCCAGCAUGGCAUCGCCAGCGAUAAAGCAGCAGCACCCAUUCUCCCCCAGAGAACAACAGCUGGAGGAUCAGGCGGAGAGCUUCAGGUCCAAAAGUUUGCCAGCUCUGAACAGGUCUGCUCCUCGGAUUACCACAACACAAAGCACCCUUCUUGAGGCAAAACGGAGUUUCUGGCACAGUUUCCAAGCGAGGUCUGACCUGAGAUGUGGCCUUGACACCAACAAAUCAGCUCACAGUAACGGUGCUGCUGCUGCUGCUUCUGGGACUGUAUUUUCUUUCACAGCCUCCACCUUUUCAGGGGUCGGGAGUUUCACUGAGAGGACAGACUGUAAUAACUUUGCUGGCACAAGCAAAGGUGUUUCCCCAGCUUCCACGUUGCUAGCUCUCUCAGGUAGAAAGUGUCUCAGCGUGGUGUUGACAGAUUCCCGUUUCUUCUUGGUGUGCAUGUGCUUUCUGACCUUCAUUCAGUCCUUAAUGGUCUCUGGGUAUCUGAGCAGUGUUAUUACCACCAUUGAGAGGAGGUACAGUUUGAAAAGCUCUGAGUCUGGGCUGCUGGUCAGCUGUUUUGAUAUUGGUAGUCUGGUGGUCGUGGUGUUCAUCAGUUACUUUGGGGGGCGCGGACGGAGGCCACUCUGGCUUGCUGUAGGUGGGUUUUUCAUUGCUCUUGGGGCUGCACUUUUUUCUUUACCUCAUUUCAUCUCUCCACCAUAUCAGAUCCAAGAAUUGAACUCUUCCCUCUCUAACGAGGGCUUGUGCGUGACUGGCAAUAAUACCACCAAAGACCAUUUGGAGUCACCAGCCUGUGUCAAGGACUCAGGUGGAAAUGAUCACUCCCUCUAUGUAGCUUUAUUCAUUUGUGCCCAAAUUCUCAUUGGCAUGGGAUCCACACCCAUCUAUACCUUGGGACCAACCUACUUAGAUGACAAUGUCAAGAAAGAAAAUGCAUCACUGUACCUAGCCAUCAUGUAUGUAAUGGGAGCACUUGGUCCUGCCGCAGGAUAUUUACUAGGAGGAGUUCUUAUUGGUUUUUAUGUUGAUCCUAGAACGACUGUUUAUAUUGACCAGAGUGACCCUCGAUUCAUUGGAAACUGGUGGAGUGGAUUCCUCCUUUGUGCCAUUGCAAUGCUCCUUGUGAUAUUCCCAAUGUUUACUUUCCCAAAAAAGCUCCCACCUCGACAAAAGAAGAAGAAGAAGAAAAUUAGCUCUGAUGACAUUUCAAGUGAUGAUGACGUCAUGAAAGAGAAAACAAACAGCAAAAGACAAGUGGAUAGUUCAAUUCCUGCUUCUAUGGGAUUUGGAAAGAAUGUUAAAGAGCUUCCAAGAGCAGCUGUCAGGAUCUUAAGCAACAUGACAUUCCUUUUUGUGAGUUUGUCAUACACAGCUGAGAGUGCCAUUGUUACUGCUUUUAUUACCUUCAUUCCCAAGUUCAUCGAGUCACAGUUUGGCAUCCCAGCUUCCAAUGCCAGCAUCUACACUGGUGUGAUUAUUGUCCCAAGUGCUGGUGUUGGCAUUGUGCUAGGUGGCUACAUUAUUAAAAAGCUCAAACUUGGUGCAGGAGAGUCUGCGAAGCUGGCUAUGAUUUGCAGCGGUGUGUCUUUGCUGUGCUUUUCAACGCUUUUCAUUGUUGGAUGUGACAGCAUUAAUCUAGGGGGCAUAAAUAUCCCAUACACAACAGGUCCUACACUCACUAUGGCACACAGAAAUCUGACAGGUGGCUGUAAUGUCAACUGUGGAUGCAAAAUUCAUGAGUACGAGCCUGUCUGUGGAUCAGAUGGAAUAACAUACUUCAAUCCAUGUCUGGCUGGCUGCAUCAGUGGUGGAAAUCAUAGCACAGGGGUAAGAAAUUAUACUGAAUGUGCCUGUGUCCAAAGCCGCCAAGUUAUCACUCCACCAACUGUGGGACAGCGCGGUCAGCUCAGGGUGGUUAUUGUCAAAACAUACCUGAAUGAGAAUGGCUAUGCUGUUUCUGGGAAGUGUGAUCGGACCUGCAGUACACUUAUCCCAUUCCUAAUAUUUCUGUUCAUAGUUACCCUUAUAACAGCAUGUGCCCAGCCAUCGGCAAUCAUAGUGACACUCAGGUCUGUGGAAGAUGGUGAGCGGCCUUUUGCACUCGGCAUGCAAUUUGUUUUAUUACGAACUCUUGCUUACAUUCCUACUCCAAUUUAUUUUGGGGCUGUUAUUGACACCACGUGCAUGCUUUGGCAACAGGAUUGUGGUGUGCAAGGAUCUUGUUGGGAAUACGAUGUAACUUCAUUUCGCUUCGUUUACUUUGGAUUGGCAGCUGGUCUCAAAUUCGUGGGAUUCUUUUUUAUUUUUCUGGCCUGGUAUUCCAUUAAAUAUAAAGAAGAUCAGCUGCAGAGGCAGAGAUGGAGGGCCUCACCUGUAAACACAGUGAGCGAGAUGGUUGGCAAAGCUGGACCUCAGCAAAACUAUGCCCGGACUAGAUCCUGCCCUACUUUUAGUGCUCGAGGGGAGCACACUGAAGCCAUCUGUCUGGCACGAGGAAUGAAUUACAUAGCACAGACAUAUCCUGGCCCCUUUUCAGAAGCAAUAAAUUCCUCAACUGAAAAUGCAUUGGAGGAAGUCACUGCUGAAAUAUAGACCCCAGGCUUGAAAAUGUAAAAUUCAGUUUUGUUGGUUGAUUUAAAUAUGGCGCCUUGUGAAACACCCGUGCCUUCUUUUUUAAUCUACACGUCACAUGAUAAUACAACAAAACUUAAAGCAAACAUCAAUAGCAUACUUCAGGGCUGGAUACCUCGAAAUGACCCAAGUUCUUAUUUCUCCCCUCCAGGUAAUGGAGUUUUAAAAAUAUGUGUUUGUAAUUACUUCAGGUGUGUCCACUAAAUGUCCAUGCUCUGAUCUAGUUGUCAAAAUUCAGGUGAGGUAUUCUAAAUGGCGGUAAUCAAUGGAAGGGUGACAGAAAUGCAUCUCAUUGAUGCCAAGACUUUAAGAAAAUGUUUAAAGGGAUCAUCAACUUUGCAUCCACGAAUCAUGUUUCAUAGAGAUGAGUAAUUACUGUGAGUUCUGCUACAAAGCACAACUGAGUGUGUCUAAACUAUGCAACUUAUCUGGAUAAUUGUUGAUGCAGCAUGUCAAUUUUGCUUUCAAAGUCUUUAAUCCAACUGAACUUGAAUGGGGCUAUUUUAAGACAGAUAUAAGAUUUAAAAAUGGACACAACUGUUUAAAGUACUGUUGAUAACAUAUUAAGCCAUAGAAAAGUUAUAUAGAAGGUAAAGUUUUUUCAAAUUCUAAGACAUCGUAUCCUUAUCCUAUUAAAAUGUACAUUUAUUUUAAUUUGAUAGGAUGUAGUAUUAUUCAGUGUAGUACACAGGGUAUGAAAGUAUAACUCAGUGUGAAAAACUACAGUAUUAAUUUGUAGUAACAUUAAGACAUGAUAAUCAACCCCAUAGAGACUAUAAUAAGUAGAUGCAUAUUUCUAUAACUACCUAUACAGUUAUCUGCUAUAGGUGGCUACUACUAACUUCAAAUCCAUACUUUUCUUAGUAAACAGAGUAUCCAGGUUUAGUUUGCCAAGAACUGCUUGGCUGUCCUUACGGAAUGCUUAGCUAUCCUUUGCAAAUGCCUGCAGAUCUUUUUAAACAAAUUGUUCUGGUUUUCCACUAAGUGAAAAUACGCAGAGUUUGGAUAGCUGCAUUUUGGGACUGCACUGCUACCAUUCCACACAGACCUCAAACUGAAUGCAAAGGGGAGUUUGCUCCACACCUCGCUCCCCCAUCUUCAUUUAAAGCUCUCUGUGAGGUGUGGCGGAAAUGGAAGAGUCAGCUGACCCCUUCCAGCAGGACAUCUAGGCACAGAAGGCACCUCCGUUCAAGGACCCACACGGCAUGUUCUGACAUUUGAUUAUUCAAAAUAUUUUAGUGAGUUUUCCCACUUGAUUGAGUCUUCAAGAGACUGUUUGAUUUUUAUCUGCAUCCUGUGCUAAUUCCUCAUCCACAAUCUUAAACUGGGAGCAUUACAACUGGCUGUUGCUGACAUUUAGUGAUCUGUCAGGUGGAAGGUUAUGACAAGAAGCCAGUGUUGUAUUCUACUUGCAGGUACAUGUCUCAGAGCCAUUGGGAAUAGAGGAGGGGAUCGUGUAUUUUUUGAAAUUUGGUUGGUGAGAAGCAUGCGGGUAGAAGCCAUGACACACACAGUAGAAAGAAUUAUUUCUCAAUAGAUAUAAACAAUUUUGAUGAGGGUUCAGGAAUUUCAGAGGAUUUUUUUUUUAAAGUUACAGUCAAUUUGUUCUAGUUGUAAGUCAGAUAGGGCCAAAUCCUGUUUCAAUUAAUGUUAAUGGAAAAAUUUCCAUGGGCUUCAGUAGUUUCAGGAUUUGGUCUGUAUAGAUUUUCCUCUCUUGCCAGGUUCCUCCUUCUCUGACUGGCAUCUGAAGUUACUCACCAUGCUGGCUUCAGAUCCUAGUUGAAAUGUUGGCUCCAUUUAUUCCAAAAUGUCUUGAUUAGUUUAUAUGACUCUUGAGCCUCUUAUGACCAUGUCUGUGGCAGAAAAUGUACAGAAAACUGUUACCUCGCUCAUUAUAUUUCCUCCCACAAGCUACUGUUCAUGUGAUGGGAUGGGUAAAAAGCCUCUGUGUUCGAGUAUGCCUGAAAAAAGAAGUGUCCAAAAUGUUUUUCUGUUCUAGGAAGAAUGAAGACCCUGCUGUCUAACAUCCUUGAUCUGCUCUGGAUGAAUAGCUAAACCAUGCCAUGGUGCUAGUUGUUAUUGAUGUAUUUUAUGAUGCAUGUUCACCAUGACUUAACUGGCAUUCAAAACAUUUCACUUAUGUAACAGCGUGUGCUUUCAAUUUGAAAAUCUGGAAAUGUUCCUGCAAAGAUCAUGAUUACCAGUGGGCCAAAUCCUACAGGCCUUACUUAGUCUUUCAGUGGGAAUAUUGCUUGCACUACAGGAUUUGCUCUAGCAUUAAUAGUGAAAGUACUAAUGUAAAACUAUAUAACCUGUAGAAAUGUAGCAUAUGACUAAUUUCCAGUAGAACAUUACUUGUUUUAAUAUACCUUUAUGGAACACUCCUAAACAGCUGUUCAAAGUAAGGUUUCUGUGAACUAAAAGAUUGGGCCAAAUUCUGGGGAUCCCUAACUCAGCAAAAUUCCUGCUUCAGUCAAUGAGAAUUUAAACUAAAGUUAAGGUACCCGAAUUUGUCCCAUUAAUACUAUUCCUCUAUAAAAUACCAAAAUGAAGAGUCAAAGUCAAGGACUCAAUUCAGCCAGUUGACAUUCACUCCAGGUAUUCUGUCAUUUGUUUCUGUGGAGACAGAAUUUGGCCCAUUGGUUUUGAACUUUGAAAGGUAAUACCUUUUCUGUCUCAGUGUAUAUGGACUUAACUGGGCUAGGAGAUCAAAGGGGAUCAUUGAGCUGAUGUAUCAAGAUGUGCGCCUGAGAGCAAGGCAACAGAAAUGUUACCUCCUAGAAGAAAACAUUUUUAAAAACAAAAAUUAUCACAGGGCUGUAUUAAACCAAAAAGUUGUACAGAAACUUAUCAACUUAGUUUUCGUGCAGAAAUGCAAGUUGAAAUCACUGUUAUAGUGGGCAUUCCUCAUAAAGGUCUGCUCCUUUCUCCACUGGAGUAAAUGGGAGUUUUGCCAUUGACUUCAAUAGGAGCUGACCCAAAAUGCAUACCUCUCCCCUCUGCCCCUUCCCCUCCCAAACCUGGGUAGAGUUUUAGGGGCAUGGAAUGGGCGCACUGGCCUGUAAUUGUUUAGUUUAACAAAGUGUUAUAUUGAAUAAACUGGUGUUAGGUCAUUUGUAGUGUGUGUGUGUGGGUGUGUGUGGGUGUGUGGUUAGUAUGCUUGUGGUAAAAGAGAGAGACUAAUUGUUAGGUGCAUUUGUUUUUGCAUACUUUAAGGUCCUUUUAUUGAUAUUUCUCAGCAGAACUUAGAAUAAUAUUCAUGAUCUAUAACAUACUGUGGUUAAUGAUAUUUAUUGUCAACAUCUAUUGUAAACGUGUUUACAAGCAAACCCUUGAAUACUUGAUAUU